rnacentral:rRNA from 1 species
GACGAACGCUGGCGGCGUGCCUAAUACAUGCAAGUCGAACGCACUCUCGUUUAGAUUGAAGGAGCUUGCUCCUGAUUGAUAAACAUUUGAGUGAGUGGCGGACGGGUGAGUAACACGUGGGUAACCUGCCCUAAAGUGGGGGAUAACAUUUGGAAACAGAUGCUAAUACCGCAUAAAACCUAACACCGCAUGGUGCAGGGUUGAAAGAUGGUUUCGGCUAUCACUUUAGGAUGGACCCGCGGUGCAUUAGUUAGUUGGUGAGGUAAAGGCUCACCAAGACCGUGAUGCAUAGCCGACCUGAGAGGGUAAUCGGCCACACUGGGACUGAGACACGGCCCAGACUCCUACGGGAGGCAGCAGUAGGGAAUCUUCCACAAUGGACGAAAGUCUGAUGGAGCAACGCCGCGUGAGUGAAGAAGGUUUUCGGAUCGUAAAACUCUGUUGUUGGAGAAGAAUGUAAUCUGAUAGUAACUGAUCAGGUAGUGACGGUAUCCAACCAGAAAGCC